rnacentral:rRNA from 1 species
CGGGACGGGUGAGUAAUGUCUGGGAAACUGCCUGAUGGAGGGGGAUAACUACUGGAAACGGUAGCUAAUACCGCAUAACGUCGCAAGACCAAAGAGGGGGACCUUAGGGCCUCUUGCCAUCGGAUGUGCCCAGAUGGGAUUAGCUAGUAGGUGGGGCAACGGCUCACCUAGGCGACGAUCCCUAGCUGGUCUGAGAGGAUGACCAGCCACACUGGAACUGAGACACGGUCCAG